AAGUCGUAACAAGGUUUCCGUAGGUGAACCUGCGGAAGGAUCAUUAUCACGUAUCCACGUAUAAACCAUUGUGAACCGUACCCCAACCUCCGGUGUUUCUGUGACGUCUCCUCUUCUUCCUCUUCGGGGGGCAAAGAGAGAACGGAACGGAGAAAACGGAGCGUAUUAACCUUUAUAUUAACCAUUCUAACCACAUCUUUAUAACUUUAUGAACUAAUCUUUAUUUUAUACUCUUCGGAGAUAAAAUUCAUUACGAAACAAAGAACAACUCUUAGCAACGGAUAUCUUGGUUCUC
rnacentral:misc_RNA from 1 species